rnacentral:misc_RNA from 2 species
AACGCACAUUGCGCCCCUUGGUAUUCCAUGGGGCAUGCCUGUUCGAGCGUCAUUUGUACCUUCAAGCUUUGCUUGGUGUUGGGUGUUUGUCCUCUCCCUGGUGUUUGGACUCGCCUUAAAACAAUUGGCAGCCAGUGUUUUGGUAUUGAAGCGCAGCACAAGUCGCGAUUCUUACCUAGCAGCACUUGCGCCCACAAGCCUUUUUUUAAACUUUUGACCUCGGAUCAGGUAGGGAUACCCGCUGAACUUAA